CACAGUCGGACUAUGGGAAAAAGAGUUCUCCUCUGUGCAGCUGGGGCACCGGGCCUGGUGCGGCUUUCUGCCUAGAGGAAGCAAUUGGGGACCAAAGAGAUAAGUUGGUUUGACCAAAGUCACAUAAGUUGUGAGUGGACAAGUCUGGAUUUGAACACGAGUCCUCUGAUUCUAUAUCUUCGACCCUUUCUAAAGGGCCAUUGCUGCGUGCCAGAAGAGGAAUACAUGCAAGAGCAGACAUUGAACUGUCACAUGAGGGGAGACAUGCACGAAGUCAAGGUACGGCCGAGGGAACGACUUCUGACAAACACUGAGGUAGUGAAUUACUAGGGUCCUGCUUUGUCAGCACCAUGGCCAGCACGCUGCUCUUUUCAUCUGAAGCUCACCUCUUAUUGACGGCACCAGAUGGGGAAUUGAAAAGGAAAUGUGACUUACUCAAGAUUGCUCAGAGAGGAGAGUCAGAUGUCGAGGGAGCAAAUGGAAACCAGAUCUAUCUGGUGACUGGUGUAAAUACCUUUGUAAUUUCCAC